CACGUAGUUAGCCGGGGCUGCUUAGUCAAGUACUGUCCUUCUUCUUCCUUGCUGAUAGAAGUUUACGACCCGAAAAUCUUCUUCCUUCACGCGGCAUCGCUGCAUCAGGGUUCCCCCCAUUGUGCAAUAUUUCCCACUGCUGCCUCCCGUAGGAGUCUGGGCCGUGUCUCAGUCCCAAUGUGGCCGUCCAUCCUCUCAGACCGGCUACUGAUCGUUGCCUUGGUAAGCCUUUACCUCCCCAACUAGCUAAUCAGUCGCGGGCCCAUCCUAUACCGUCUCGGCUUUUCCUACUAGUUCAUGCGAACCUGUAGGCUUAUGCGGUAUUAGCGUACAUUUCUAUACGUUAUCCCCCUGUAUAGGGUAGGUUACCCACGUGUUACUCACCCGUCCGCCGCUAGAUCAUUCCCUUCCAGGCCGAAGCCUUUCCGCAAAACUCUCUCGCUCGACUUGCAUGUGUUAAGCGUGCCGCCAGCGUCAUCUCGAGCACGAGUCAAACUAC
rnacentral:rRNA from 1 species